GCGUCAUUGAUUUAAUCCCAGGUGUUUCCUAUGUGUUCCCAUUGAUCCCAGGUGUGUCUAGUCUUCCCAUCACCCAGUCCUGUAUAAACUGUUUUCCCUGUGUUCAGUCUAGCAUACGGUAUUGUUCAUGUCUACAUGUCCUAUGUGAGUUUUCCUUGUUAUAAUUAAACUACUCUGGAUUGAUGUACUCCUCGUCUCCCUCCGUUCCUCCCUCCGCACUCCACUCAAUAGUGCACUCGUGACAGAAUACCGGACCCAAAACAAAAGAUACUGUAUGUUUAUUACCGUGGCUCAGGCGAGUCCAAACCCCAUCAUCUUCGCAAGGGCGUUUUGUGCCACUCGCCCCUCGACAGCUCCCUCGAAAGGGAAACCCUCAUGACCUCCAGUGCCUGCUCCUCGUAAGUGCCUUCCAGAGUUUGCUCCAGUGUUGGCCCAGACCACACCUUUUCCCCCCAAUCCAGAAGAGGAAACUAGGGGUGAGGAGAAGGGUGUUGGCCUAGCCCCGAUCCUGAGUUAAGCCCCGGAUGGGCUCCUGUUCUGGAGUUAAGCCCCGGGUGGGCUCCUUUUCUUGAGUUAAGCCCUGAGUGGGCUCCUGAUUCCCCGUUAUGCCCAGGGAGGGCUCCUGAUUCCCCGUUUAGCCCAGGGUCUUUGGCCGCCCGAGACUUCUGAUCUGCCAUGGCUUCCUGGGUCUCCUUAUCCAUCAUGGCCUCCGGGAUUCCCAGAUCCGCCAUGGCCUCCCGAGUCUCCAGAUACGCCAUGGCUGCCCAAGUCCUCUGAUCCAUCAUGGUGCCCCGAAUGGGGCCCACUGUCCCGUGUCUGUCCUGAGGGACCUCCAGAGUGCCCACCAGUAAUGUUAGACUCUGUUCCAUGUUUUUGUGUUUGUUUUUACCCUAUGAACCAAUUUCUGUCUCCUGCGUCAUUGAUUUAGUCUUCCCAUCACCCAGUCCUGUAUAAACUGUUUUCCCUGUGUUCAGUCUAGCAUACGGUAUUGUUCAUGUCUACAUGUCCUAUGUGAGUUUUCCUAUUUAUAAUUAAACUGCUCUGGAUUGAUGUACUUCUUAUCUCCCUCCGUUCCUUGCUCCACACUCCACUCAGUAGUGCACU
ensembl:lncRNA